rnacentral:rRNA from 1 species
GGACUACCGGGGUAUCUAAUCCCUUUCGCUCCCCUAGCUUUCGUUCAUCAGCGUCAAAAAAUUCCUAGUUACCUGCCUUCGCCCUUGGAAUUCCUAUCGAUAUCAACGGAUUUCACCCCUACACCGAUAGUUCUAGUAACCCCGAAAUAUUUCAACUCUUGUAGUAUUAUCUCCCUUCCCGAGGUUGAGCCUUGGUCUUUAAAAGAUAACUUACAAAAGCGCCUUUAGAAACGCUUUACGCCCAAUAAAUCCGGACAACGCUUGCACCUCUCGUAUUACCGCGGCUGCUGGCAC